AGAGUUUGAUCCUGGCUCAGAUUGAACGCUGGCGGCAUGCCUUACACAUGCAAGUCGAACGGCAGCGCGGGAGCAAUCCUGGCGGCGAGUGGCGAACGGGUGAGUAAUACAUCGGAACGUGCCCAAUCGUGGGGGAUAACGCAGCGAAAGCUGUGCUAAUACCGCAUAMGAUCUACGGAUGAAAGCAGGGGAUCGCAAGACCUUGCGCGAAUGGAGCGGCCGAUGGCAGAUUAGGUAGUUGGUGAGGUAAAGGCUCACCAAGCCUUCGAUCUGUAGCUGGUCUGAGAGGACGACCAGCCACACUGGGACUGAGACACGGCCCAGACUCCUACGGGAGGCAGCAGUGGGGAAUUUUGGACAAUGGGCGCAAGCCUGAUCCAGCCAUGCCGCGUGCAGGAUGAAGGCCUUCGGGUUGUAAACUGCUUUUGUACGGAACGAAAAGGUCUCUUUCUAAUAAAGAGGGCUCAUGACGGUACCGUAAGAAUAAGCACCGGCUAACUACGUGCCAGCAGCCGCGGUAAUACGUAGGGUGCAAGCGUUAAUCGGAAUUACUGGGCGUAAAGCGUGCGCAGGCGGUGAUGUAAGACAGUUGUGAAAUCCCCGGGCUCAACCUGGGAACUGCAUCUGUGACUGCAUCGCUGGAGUACGGUAGAGGGGGAUGGAAUUCCGCGUGUAGCAGUGAAAUGCGUAGAUAUGCGGAGGAACACCGAUGGCGAAGGCAAUCCCCUGGACCUGUACUGACGCUCAUGCACGAAAGCGUGGGGAGCAAACAGGAUUAGAUACCCUGGUAGUCCACGCCCUAAACGAUGUCAACUGGUUGUUGGGUCUUCACUGACUCAGUAACGAAGCUAACGCGUGAAGUUGACCGCCUGGGGAGUACGGCCGCAAGGUUGAAACUCAAAGGAGUUGACGGGGACCCGCACAAGCGGUGGAUGAUGUGGUCUAAUUCGAUGCAACGCGAAAAACCUUACCCACCUUUGACAUGUACGGAAUUUGCCAGAGAUGGCUUAGUGCUCGAAAGAGAACCGUAACACAGGUGCUGCAUGGCUGUCGUCAGCUCGUGUCGUGAGAUGUUGGGUUAAGUCCCGCAACGAGCGCAACCCUUGUCAUUAGUUGCUACAUUUAGUUGGGCACUCUAGUGAGACUGCCGGUGACAAACCGGAGGAAGGUGGGGAUGACGUCAAGUCCUCAUGGCCCUUAUAGGUGGGGCUACACACGUCAUACAAUGGCUGGUACAAAGGGUUGCCAACCCGCGAGGGGGAGCUAAUCCCAUAAAACCAGUCGUAGUCCGGAUCGCAGUCUGUAACUCGGCUGCGUGAAGUCGGAAUCGCUAGUAAUCGUGGAUCAGAAUGUCACGGUGAAUACGUUCCCGGGUCUUGUACACACCGCCCGUCACACCAUGGGAGCGGGUUCUGCCAGAAGUAGUUAGCCUAACCGCAAGGAGGGCGAUUACCACGGCAGGGUUCGUG
rnacentral:rRNA from 1 species